rfam:Pteropus alecto contig164919, whole genome shotgun sequence.
GGCUCCAUAGUCUAGUGGUUAGCAUGUCUGCUUUACAUGCAGAAGGUCCUGGGUUCGUGCCCUAGGUGGAACCA